rnacentral:rRNA from 1 species
UACGGAGGGUGCAAGCGUUGUCCGGAUUUAUUGGGUUUAAAGGGUGCGUAGGCGGCUCUGUAAGUCAGCGUUGAAAUAUGGCAGCUUAACUGUCAGACUGGCAUUGAUACUGCAGGGCUUGAGUGAAGUCGAGGUUGGCGGAAUUGAAGGUGUAGCGGUGAAAUGCAUAGAUAUAUUCAAGAACACCUAUUGCGAAGGCAGCUAACUAGACUUUAACUGACGCUGAGGCACGAAAGCGUGGGGAUCAAACAGG